GAUGAAGAACGUAGCGAAAUGCGAUACGUAAUGUGAAUUGCAGAAUUCAGUGAAUCAUCGAAUCUUUGAACGCAUAUUGCGCUCUCUGGUAUUCCGGAGAGCAUGCUUGUUUGAGUAUCAGUAAACACCUCAACUUCCAUAUCUUUUUUGAAAUGGGAGUUGGACUUGAGUGAUCCCAACGCUUUUCCUCACCGAAAAGUGGCGGGUUACUUGAAAUGCAGGUGCAGCUGGACUUUUCUCUGAGCUAUAAGCAUAUCUAUUUAGUCUGCCUAAAAAACAGAUUAUUACCUUUGCUGCAGCUAAAAUAAAGGAGAUUAGUUCUUGUGCUGACUGAUGCAGGAUUCACAAAGACAGGCUUCGGCCGACUUUGUAAACUCGAUCUCAAAUCAAGUAAGACUACCCGCUGAACUUAAGCAUAUCAAUAAGCGGAGGA
rnacentral:misc_RNA from 1 species